rnacentral:lncRNA from 1 species
GCAACUUUUUUUUUUAAGUUACCGUUUCUUAAACAUCUCCUAAAGAUUACCAACAACACAUAUGUAAGUUUUUCUAAGCAUUUUACAUAUAUGGAUUCGUUGCCUUCCACAACAAUCCUAGGACAUAGGUACCAUUAGUAUCCCCAUUAUACAGAUUAAGAAACUGAGGUACAGGGAGGCUAAGUAACCAGCCCAGGCAGUGGAGCCGGGGUUCAAACCAGGCAGUCUGGCUGCAAAGUCCCUCUUCCUCACCACCACACUCAACAUUCCAGGCACUGUGCUAACUGUUUACACAAAUCCUCUCCAUUUUGCAGUUGAGAAACCCAAGACUCAGACCAGUUGGGCAACAGCUGAAGGUCACAUAGCUGGGAAGCAGUAGAGAUGAGAUUCAAAGUCGGCAGAGCUCCAGAGUCUCUGCUCUCCCCCACACCCUCCUGCAACCCUGCCAGACGCUCAGGCUUCCAAAGCAAGUUUAACCAAUAUCCCUGCAUUGCCACGCCUCUUCAGGCAAGUCAGCUUCUCCCCGCUGGGCCUCAGUUUCACCAUCUAGAAAAUGACUGGGGGAUUGGCCCAGCUGAUCUUUGAGGUCCCUUGGAGCUCUGUGAGUCUGUGAUGAGAAAGGUGUGGUGCUUCUAGCUGAAAGGGAAGACCUGUGGCCUGGGAAUACCUUGGGCUUGGCUUGGGGUUGCAGCCAGCAAGGAUGAGGGAGAUGAGGGCCUGGGGAUGAAAUGAAAAGGAAAUUUCAGGUGACUGGAGAAGGCUUAUUGGCUGUGAACCUGGGAAGAGGGUUCAGAUGUAUGAAGCAGGUAAGAAAAGAAGAGAGAAGCCCUGGGUGGGCCUCCCAGGGGGCCUUUUCCUUCUUCCCAGGGGUCACCCCAAGCUCAAGAUGGGCACAUGAGAGCCUCGGGCAAGGGAGCAGGGAUCAGGCCAGCACUGAACCGAGGUCAGAACUUCUGAGACACAGCAGUUCGAGGGAAUUGACAUUGCUGGGGGUUUUGUUUUCUCUGUAAAUAUUUGGAGAUGUCCAGUUAUUCUAGAAAAAUGUAUCUGCAGCUGAGGGGGCGCAUUUGUGCGGCUGGCCUGGCUGCCUUUUGCAUGACUGCUCUGUUACAUUCUUCCCCUUCAGGAACCGAGGGUUGUUUUCCCAUCUGUAACCUCAUUAGGAUGUCCACACCAGCGGGCUCCACACGCACAUGCGCUCCGGCAGGUUCCCCUCGGGGACACACACGCACACUGGCAUUGCCCCCUGGCCACACGCUCACGCACACAGUCGCAGCUGUGCCUUUUAAUAUUUAAUGCCAUUGCUGCAAACGCCGCUCCACGCUGACUGCAUCCGUGCCAGGCUCAUUCCUCUCAGGGCGCCAAUUCCCGGCUUGGAGACCAGCUGACAAAUCUUGUUAAAAACCUUCCAGCCCAGUGCAUCUCUCGGAGGAGGGUAAUGUCACGUGCUUGCGAGAUGAGCGAAUGGGUGUCAUUACCAGGCAGCUCCAUUUUCAACGAGGCUCUUUCCACUUGGGGAAAUGGAUGGAAUCACCUAUUGCGUUGGACUGACCUGCUCUCUGGCUUGCAGAAGUCACGGCUCUGGGUGGCACCAAGGCACGAAAUGACACGGACACCUGGCCUGUGUGGGGGCCUUUGUCUGUCCCUCUCUCCCUGCUCCUCCACAGUCAGUAUCCACACUAUGGUUUGAAUGUAUGUAUCUUUCCGACAUUCAUAUGGUUGGAACAUAAACCCCAAGGCAAUGGUAUGAGAAGUUGGGGGGGGCCUUUGGGAGUUGAUUAGGUCAUGAAGGCUCCACCCUUGUGAACGGGAUUAAUGCCCUUAUAGCAAUAAAAGAGCAGGAGGGAACUAGUUAGGCUCAUUGUGAUCUUCCACUCUUCUACCACAUGAGGACACAGUGUUUGUCCCCUCCAGAGGGCAUGGCAAGGCCCCAUCUCGGAAGCAGAGAGAGUCCACACCAGACACUGAAUCUGUUGGCGUCUUGAUCUUGGACUUCCAAUCCUCUAAAACUCUGUUGUUUCCUCAAGGGAAAACUUUAUCUGUGUGUGGGUAAAAUGUUGCUCUCUUAACGAAUCGAAAGCAGAACAUGAGG